UACGUAGGGUGCAAGCGUUAAUCGGAAUUACUGGGCUUAAAGCGUGCGCAGGCGGUGAUGUAAGACAGAUGUGAAAUCCCCGGGCUCAACUUGGGAACUGCAUUUGUGACUGCAUCGCUGGAGUGCGGCAGAGGGGGAUGGAAUUCCGCGUGUAGCAGUGAAAUGCGUAGAUAUGCGGAGGAACACCGAUGGCGAAGGCAAUCCCCUGGGCCUGCACUGACGCUCAUGCACGAAAGCGUGGGGAGCAAACAGG
rnacentral:rRNA from 1 species